GAGUUGGAAAACAAGCAGUGCUAACAAUUCGUACGGAUGAACACAUUCCAAGACGCUCUCCUGAAAAUGUCCGUGCCGAGGUAGAAACCUCGACUAGUAUCUAUGUAGAUUGGGCAAACGUUACUUCCAACUUCGUUCAUGGAAUACUGCUGGGUUAUAAUGUCGCAAUUCAGAGAACAAAGGAUGAGUCAACACGCUAUGUGGAUGCUCCUCCCGGUGAAAAGGAUAGACCCAUCUAUGUGACAAAUUUGAAAAGUACACGGAGUAUACAAUUUGGGUGCGUGCAAGAAAUUCGAAAGGCAUAGGUCAAUUGAAUUCUCCCGAUGGUUUUCGAUUGAGAACUAAGGAAGAUGCACCGGAUGCAGCACCUUCCAAUAUCAGAGUUUCAUCCAUGGUAUCCAUUUCAGUUAUAAAAUUACAAUGGGAUAAAAUCCCGAGGAUAAAGCAAACGGUAUAAUACGUGGAUACUAUAUUGAAUACACAGCAACCAAUCUAAAUGGUCAAAAUGUGGAAUUAAAUGAAAGGGUGACGAAGACAGUCCGUGUCAGAGGCAAUCGCGAUUCAAUAGACUUAGAAAAUCUUACACCUGGAUCAUCUUAUGAUAUCACAAUAUUUGGCUACACAAUUAAAAACGGAACAAAAAGUAAUUUGAAGAACGGACGUACCUGCAAUUGUCCCGAAUAUAUAAAAGUUAAUUGGUGGAAUAUUCCUCCAUAUACGGACCAAAGUAUAGAGAGUCCUGGAGGUAUAUUUGCUCAUACAGUCGAUUUUUUAAUUGACAUGUGUGGAGAUUGUAAAAAUGGUCAUGGUAAGAGUAAACCUUGUUACCGUCCGGGCUGCAAUCAACCGUCUUCUCGAAGACGUCGAGCAAUCGACUCGUACCAUCAAGAAAGUUUUCAGAAUUUUUUGAAUAAUAUCAAUGACGAUGUAGACGUCAGUUUUCCUGUUCAAGGAAAUAAGUAUUUGACACAUCAUGGUGGUAUUCAGCCAUAUGUUUCAGUCGUAGAAAGUACUGGAUCAGUUUAUUUUACUGUCAAAAC